rnacentral:rRNA from 1 species
AGUGAACGCUGGCGGUAGGCCUAACACAUGCAAGUCGAACGGCAGCACAGUAAGAGCUUGCUCUUACGGGUGGCUAGUGGCGGACGGGUGAGGAAUACAGCGGAAUCUACUUUUUCGUGGGGGUUAACGUAGGGAAACUUACGCUAAUACCGCAUACGACCUACGGGUGAAAGCAGGGGAUCUUCGGAUCUUGCGCGAUUGAAUGAGCCUAUGUCGGAUUAGCUAGUUGGCGGGGCAAAGGCCCACCUAGGCGACGAUCCGUAGCUGAUCUGAGAGGAUGACCCGCCACACUGGAACUGAGACACGGUCCACACUCCCAACGUGGGCCCCAGCCGAGAAUAUUGGCCCAAGCAGACGAGCCGAAUACAGCAAUACCGGGUAGCUGAAGAAGGCCUUAGGGUUCUACAGCGAAAAUGUUGGGAGGGACAACCAGCCGGGUAAUAUGGGGAGGCUCUGACGGUACCCCACGAGGAAGCACCGGCUAACUUCGUG